CACCUGCAUAUUGAUUGCAGGCUGGCAUCAGGUAUAAAGCUAAGCCGGUGCUUCUCUGGACUAUUCCUCCCAUGCAUUCAGCGCAAAGCAGCAGUAAAUGCUGGUACUCUGCGACGGACUGAUCGGCAAGAGUAGAUCAUAUGACAGCCACAGCGCGGCAGUUUGUUUUAUUCCGGCGUUGCGGAGAGAGGUGCUUGUGUGAUCCCCCACCAGUGAGAGUAUAGCGCCUCCGGUCCUGGGGGUUUGAUCGCUGCCUUCACCUCCGUGGCAACUCGCACAGCCUUAAUUGAAGAAUCAAGACGCCUGCCUAGCCGUUGUUGUGAGGGCUCCUCCUCGGUGGAGCCUGCUGUCUUGUCUUGUCUGGUUUUGAAUUGUUUUAUCUUGUCUUAUCUUGUUUUAUUAAGUAGGCCUACCAUUUCCUGUUUCGCCUGGUUUUAUUUUAUUUUAUCUCUGGACCGUUGCCUGUGCCCACGCUUCUGUGAUCGGGCUGAAGCAAUCCUUUGCCCGAGUGUCGUGCCGGGAAUUUUAAAUUGCCUCCGUCGCUGGUCUUAGCCUGUGGGGAGCCAGACCAGCUUGCGAUUGAGGCUUGGACAAUUACUACCAGUACGAGUGGACCCGUGGGGCAUAAGCCUUCCAGUGUGGUGUGUGUGUGCGUGUGUGCGAUUUCUUUUAUUAAAGUUAUUAAAGUGUGUUUUAGUUUUUUAUGAUCUGUAGCGAGCCAGACGCUCAGUGUCCCUUUUAUUCUUUUAACAUAUUUCUGUGUUUUAUUUCAGUGGAUGAAGGACGUGCCAGUGGCCCUGGGACCUCAGGUGGUGGGUCGUUUUCACACUUUCUUUUGUACAGCACCUGGUGGGCUGCAGUGAUUUUCGUUUUGUGUGAUUUUCUUUUGGGUCCACGGCUGCUGGUAAGUCCAAGUUCCAUGAUUGUUUUAUUUUCACUUUAGGACACUGUCAACAAUGACGCUACAUCUUGGUUUCUAAAUAUUUUAUUUAUUUUUACUAUAAUUAAAACUGUUUUAAUAUUGGAGCCAACCUGCCUCAGUGUGCAUCCCUUGAAUCUGUGCGGCCUCUUUUA